CAGCCUACGGGAGGCAGCAGUGGGGAAUAUUGCGCAAUGGGCGAAAGCCUGACGCAGCGACGCCGCGUGAGGGAUGAAGGGCUUCGGAUCGUAAACCUCUGUCAGCAGGGAAGAACGGUCACUGUGCUAAUCAGCAGUGAAUUGACGGUACCUGCAAAGGAAGCACCGGCUAACUCCGUGCCAGCAGCCGCGGUAAUACGGAGGGUGCGAGCGUUAAUCGGAAUUACUGGGCGUAAAGCGCUCGUAGGCGGUAGGGCAAGGCAAGGGUGAAAGCCCCGCGCUCAACGGGGGAACUGCCUUUGAAA
rnacentral:rRNA from 1 species